AUUGAACGCUGGCGGCAGGCCUAACCCAUGCAAGUCGCACGAGUGGCGGACGGGUGAGUAAUGUCUGGGAAACUGCCUGAUGGAGGGGGAUAACUACUGGAAACGGUAGCUAAUACCGCAUACCAUCGGAUGUGCCCAGAUGGGAUUAGCUAGUAGGUGGGGUAACGGCUCACCUAGGCGACGAUCCCUAGCUGGUCUGAGAGGAUGACCAGCCACACGGGGACUGAGACACGGUACAGACGCCUACGGGAGGCAGCAGUGGGGAAUAUUGCACAAUGGGCGCAAGCCUGAUGCAGCCAUGCCGCGUGGAUGAAGAAGGCCUUCGGGUUGUAAAGUACUUUCAGCGGGGAGGCGUUACCCGCAGAAGAAGCACCGGCUAACUACGUGCCAGCAGCCGCGGUAAUAC
rnacentral:rRNA from 1 species